AGAGUUUGAUCCUGGCUCAGGAUGAACGCUAGCUACAGGCUUAACACAUGCAAGUCGAGGGGAAACGACAUCGAAAGCUUGCUUUUGAUGGGCGUCGACCGGCGCACGGGUGAGUAACGCGUAUCCAACCUGCCCAUCACUUGGGGAUAACCUUGCGAAAGUAAGACUAAUACCCAAUGAUAUCUCUAGAAGACAUCUGAAAGAGAUUAAAGAUUUAUCGGUGAUGGAUGGGGAUGCGUCUGAUUAGCUUGUUGGCGGGGUAACGGCCCACCAAGGCGACGAUCAGUAGGGGUUCUGAGAGGAAGGUCCCCCACAUUGGAACUGAGACACGGUCCAAACUCCUACGGGAGGCAGCAGUGAGGAAUAUUGGUCAAUGGACGAGAGUCUGAACCAGCCAAGUAGCGUGCAGGAAGACGGCCCUAUGGGUUGUAAACUGCUUUUAUAAGGGAAUAAAGUGAGUCUCGUGAGACUUUUUGCAUGUACCUUAUGAAUAAGGACCGGCUAAUUCCGUGCCAGCAGCCGCGGUAAUACGGAAGGUCCGGGCGUUAUCCGGAUUUAUUGGGUUUAAAGGGAGCGUAGGCCGGAGAUUAAGCGUGUUGUGAAAUGUAGACGCUCAACGUCUGCACUGCAGCGCGAACUGGUUUCCUUGAGUACGCACAAAGUGGGCGGAAUUCGUGGUGUAGCGGUGAAAUGCUUAGAUAUCACGAAGAACUCCGAUUGCGAAGGCAGCUCACUGGAGCGCAACUGACGCUGAAGCUCGAAAGUGCGGGUAUCGAACAGGAUUAGAUACCCUGGUAGUCCGCACGGUAAACGAUGGAUGCCCGCUGUUGGUCUGAACAGGUCAGCGGCCAAGCGAAAGCAUUAAGCAUCCCACCUGGGGAGUACGCCGGCAACGGUGAAACUCAAAGGAAUUGACGGGGGCCCG
rnacentral:rRNA from 1 species